rnacentral:rRNA from 1 species
GGGAUAACUACUGGAAACGGUAGCUAAUACCGCAUAACGUCGUAAGACCAAAGAGGGGGACCUUCGGGCCUCUUGCCAUCGGAUGUGCCCAGAUGGGAUUAGCUUGUUGGUGGGGUAACGGCUCACCAAGGCGACGAUCCCUAGCUGGUCUGAGAGGAUGACCAGCCACACUGGAACUGAGACACGGUCCAGACUCCUACGGGAGGCAGCGGUGGGGAAUAUUGCACAAUGGGCGCAAGCCUGAUGCAGCCAUGCCGCGUGUAUGAAGAAGGCCUUCGGGUUGUAAAGUACUUUCAGCGGGGAGGAAGGGAGUAAAGUUAAUACCUUUGCUCAUUGACGUUACCCGCAGAAGAAGCACCGGCUAACUCCGUGCCAGCAGCCGCGGUAAUACGGAGGGUGCAAGCGUUAAUCGGAAUUACUGGGCGUAAAGCGCACGCAGGCGGUUUGUUAAGUCAGAUGUGAAAUCCCCGGGCUCAACCUGGGAACUGCAUCUGAUACUGGCAAGCUUGAGUCUCGUAGAGGGGGGUAGAAUUCCAGGUGUAGCGGUGAGAUGCGUAGAGAUCUGGAGGAAUACCGGUGGCGAAGGCGGCCCCCUGGACGAAGACUGACGCUCAGGUGCGAAAGCGUGGGGAGCAAACAGGAUUAGAUACCCU